rnacentral:rRNA from 1 species
AUGUACAAUGAUAGUCCACAUGCGGCACAUGAUUAUUUUAGUGCUUUUCACAGUAGUGAAGGCACAUCACAAGGGUAUGAUCCUCGACGUGGAAGAGCAAGAUACUUGGACUAUGGUGCAAUGCCAAUCACUAUUGGUAUCCUACCAGCACCUGAAGUUGGCUCAUCUUUCUUGUCUGGACAUUCUGCUUAUAGUGCGCUUGAUUCGAGAGAAGCCAAAAGGGUGAGGCUGGAUGCUGGCAUCGACCCUUACCAUGUAAGGGCAGGCAUUGAGGGUCUUCAUCCAGGUCGGGCAGCUUAUUUUUAA